UAUUUCAAACGCAAAUAAUAUCUUCUGUACGUCCAAACAAAUUUCUUCCGUGUGUUCUAUUCGAGAGUGAAGUAUUUGGUCCGAAUUAUAUAGUAAUAUAAAAAGAAAUCUUCCUUGAAGUAUUACAAGAGACUGGACAACAGCUAUUAAUUUUUCAAGAAUGUCACGACGAAAAAUUCUAUUCCAUGACCGAUCUACAGAUUCAGAAAACGAUUCAGAUGAUCAAAAUCAAAAUAAUGUUACACUACAGAGAAAGAAAAGAAAAAGAACUAUAUGUAGUACUUCCGACUCAGAAUCAGAGAAGAUUGAAGCAAAUGACAGUUGCCGUGAUAUAUGGACGUCAAAAAGAUUUC